UACGUAGGGGGCAAGCGUUGUCCGGAUUUACUGGGCGUAAAGCGCGUGUAGGCGGCUUGCUAAGUCAGGGGUGAAAUCCUGGAGCUCAACUCCAGAACUGCCUUUGAUACUGGCGUGCUUCGAGUCCGGGAGAGGUGAGUGGAACUGCGAGUGUAGAGGUGAAAUUCGUAGAUAUUCGCAAGAACACCAGUGGCGAAGGCGGCUCACUGGCCCGGUACUGACGCUGAGGUGCGAAAGCGUGGGGAGCAACAGG
rnacentral:rRNA from 1 species